AACGAACGCUGGCGGCAGGCCUAACACAUGCAAGUCGAACGCCCUAGCAAUAGGGAGUGGCAGACGGGUGAGUAACACGUGGGAACCUUCCCUAUAGUACGGAAUAUACCAGGGAAACUUGGAGCAAUACCGUAUACGCCCGAGAGGGGAAGAUUUAUCGCUAUAGGAUGGGCCCGCGUAGGAUUAGCUAGUUGGUGAGGUAAUGGCUCACCAAGGCGACGAUCCUUAGCUGGUUUGAGAGAACGACCAGCCACACUGGGACUGAGACACGGCCCAGACUCCUACGGGAGGCAGCAGUGGGGAAUAUUGGACAAUGGGCGCAAGCCUGAUCCAGCCAUGCCGCGUGAGUGAUGAAGGCCUUAGGGUUGUAAAGCUC
rnacentral:rRNA from 1 species